rnacentral:rRNA from 1 species
GCAGCCGCGGUAAUACGUAGGGAGCGAGCGUUGUCCGGAAUUACUGGGUGUAAAGGGAGCGUAGGCGGGACGGCAAGUCAGAUGUGAAAACCACGGGCUCAACCUGUGGACUGCAUUUGAAACUGUUGUUCUUGAGUGAAGUAGAGGUAAGCGGAAUUCCUGGUGUAGCGGUGAAAUGCGUAGAUAUCAGGAGGAACACCGGUGGCGAAGGCGGCUUACUGGGCUUUAACUGACGCUGAGGCUCGAAAGCGUGGGUAGCAAACAGGAUUAGAUACCCC